CCUCCUUGCUUGUCCCCUUUCCUGCUACAUAGCUGGUGUGUGCAUCCCUGUGUGUCUCCCCUUGCCUCCUAUGGGUCACAGCUACGUACAAAAGAGGAAAGAUCUGCUGCCAGAUCCCUGCCCAAUCUACAGCCUUACAUCCCUACAUCAGCUUCUCUGAGAUGUGUUGGGUGGUGAGCCUGGAAUUUAUACUGGAGAUUCAGGAUUUAAAUGGAGAGAUGGAGGAAAACUUACAUGCUCACAUCUAGAAGGAAGAAGGGAUGGGGAGAAAUCCUGCCUCAGCAGAAAGACCAUGACAAAAGUUAUGCUGCAAGCCCUGACCUAAGCUGUGAAAGACCAUGGAUGGAAGAGGGCUGAAGUCUGACCAUCUGCAGAAGGUACCUGCAUCUCAGCAUCUGACCCAUAGAAGAACGUGAAGGAUACCCUGGAGAUCCUGCUAGAGACUGAAAAAUGGGAGCACCUUCCAAGAGCAGUUUGUAUCUUAGAGGGACAGAAUCAACUUCCAACAGGAAAGGAAACCUCAGCUGUACAUGCUGGUAUGGAUGUAGCCUUGGGUGUCUUGUCAAGAAAAGCCCAACCUCACUGAAUCGUGGAUCAAGGAAUAUGCUGUUUAUGAAAGUUGUGCUUCAGCCAAACACAAAGCUUCGGAUUCAGUUCAGGAGCAACCCAAUGAAACCCCAUGGUCUGUGGUGCAGCAAAGACUGAUGCAUCUUCCAGUUCCUGGGAAGUCCAGGGGUUCUGUGGCAGCUGGUGGAAAAAGAAGUGUCUCUUUGAAGGUGUUU